ACUAAUCUCUUAUAGUGUCUCCCCACAUUACAACCUUCUUCCUUCGAAUUCCUACACUUCAGAAGCAGAACCUUUCCUUCUUGCAUCUCCUUCGUACACCUUCUUCGCUCAGCACUCCCCUAAAGAUUUGCAGUCAUGAGGAGUUGCACACUUUUAUGAGCAACUUGGAGAUGUUAGUUUUACAAAAAUAAAAGUUGGAUAUAUGAACACUUUUCUAGAAUGGGAAAGAAGUAAUUCCUGGAUAGUUAUGAUGAGUAGAGACCUCGAAUGACACAUUUUUUUAUGGGAGACAAGUUUCCAGCCUAAAUGAGAUUAGGGCAUAGUUAGGUGCAUGAACAUAUGAUGGGGUGAUAUGGACCCAUAUGGAUCACCUCAAGUUACUCGGAUGCUUGUGGCAACCUUGAGGUGCAUUGACACUAUUAAAUGCAUUCAAUAAUUUUACUACAUCAAG